UACGUAGGGUGCAAGCGUUGUCCGGAAUUAUUGGGCGUAAAGGGCGCGUAGGCGGCAAUUCAAGUCAUCUGUGAAAUCUCCGGGCUUAACUCGGAACGGUCAGAUGAUACUGCUUUGCUAGAGUGCAGAAGGGGCAAUCGGAAUUCUCGGUGUAGCGGUGAAAUGCUUAGAUAUCGUCAAGAACACCUAUAGCGAAGGCAGCUAACUAAACUUUAACUGACGCUGAGGCACGAAAGUGUGGGGAUCAAACAGG
rnacentral:rRNA from 1 species